GACGAACGCUGGCGGCGUGCUUAACACAUGCAAGUCGAACGGAAAGGCCCUGCUUUUGUGGGGUGCUCGAGUGGCGAACGGGUGAGUAACACGUGAGUAACCUGCCCUUGACUUUGGGAUAACUUCAGGAAACUGGGGCUAAUACCGGAUAGGAGCUCCUGCUGCAUGGUGGGGGUUGGACAGUUUCGGCGGUUGGGGAUGGACUCGCGGCUUAUCAGCUUGUUGGUGGGGUAGUGGCUUACCAAGGCUUUGACGGGUAGCCGGCCUGAGAGGGUGACCGGCCACAUGAGGACUGAGGUACGGCCCAGACGCCUACGGGAGGCAGCAGUGGGGAAUAUUGCCCAAUGGGCGGAAGCCUGAUGCAGCAACGCCGCGUUCGGGAUGACGGCCUUCGGGUUGUAAACCGCUUUCGCCUGUGACGAAGCGUGAGUGACGGUAAUGGGUAAAGAAGCACCGGCUAACUACGUG
rnacentral:rRNA from 1 species